ACGCUGGCGGCAGGCCUAACACAUGCAAGUCGAGCGGUAGAGAGAAGCUUGCUUCUCUUGAGAGCGGCGGACGGGUGAGUAAUGCCUAGGAAUCUGCCUGGUAGUGGGGGAUAACGUCCGGAAACGGACGCUAAUACCGCAUACGUCCUACGGGAGAAAGCAGGGGACCUUCGGGCCUUGCGCUAUCAGAUGAGCCUAGGUCGGAUUAGCUAGUUGGUGGGGUAAUGGCUCACCAAGGCGACGAUCCGUAACUGGUCUGAGAGGAUGAUCAGUCACACUGGAACUGAGACACGGUCCAGACUCCUACGGGAGGCAGCAGUGGGGAAUAUUGGACAAUGGGCGAAAGCCUGAUCCAGCCAUGCCGCGUGUGUGAAGAAGGUCCUCGGAUUGUAAAGCACUUUAAGUUGGGAGGAAGGGCAGUAAAUUAAUACUUUGCUGUUUUGACGUUACCGACAGAAUAAGCACCGGCUAACUCUGUGCCAGCAGCCGCGGUAAUACAGAGGGUGCAAGCGUUAAUCGGAAUUACUGGGCGUAAAGCGCGCGUAGGUGGUUCGUUAAGUUGGAUGUGAAAUCCCCGGGCUCAACCUGGGAACUGCAUUCAAAACUGACGAGCUAGAGUAUGGUAGAGGGUGGUGGAAUUUCCUGUGUAGCGGUGAAAUGCGUAGAUAUAGGAAGGAACACCAGUGGCGAAGGCGACCACCUGGACUGAUACUGACACUGAGGUGCGAAAGCGUGGGGAGCAAAC
rnacentral:rRNA from 1 species